GCCGCCCCGCCGCCGCCUGACCCACCCACCCGCCCGCCCACCCGCACCUCGCCUCACUCACCUCCCGGGUAUCCAAUAAUAGAAGCUGCUUGAGCCGAGGAGGGCAAAAACAAGCCGCUAAACUGUUCCAGAUCGUGUUACAUUCCAGGCUCAUCAAAUAGGGAAAUACUGAACUGCUGCUGAAUUGCCAAAAGCGGCGGUGGCGUGGUCGGCGGCGGGCGGCGCGGCUGCAGGUGAGGCUGCGCCGAGUUCCGGUCAGGGGCAGGGGGCGGAAUAAGAAGUGGCUGAGGGGGCGGAGGCGACACGCAGCAUAACAAUCACACACCUGUACAGCACACCGGCCUUCCCUCCCUCCGUGGCACUUCCGUAGCCACCGCCCCCACCUUUUUUUUUUUUUUUCCUUUUCGCCUAUUAAUUCGAGUCUUUUCUUUUUCCUCUUACCUCCUUCCAAUCUCCUUUCCCUAUCUUUUUUUUUUUCACCCUUUUCAAUCUCCCGUCCCUCCCUCCCCCGCGUGGCUGUCAUGACCGCGAAACAACGGCAAAAAAAGCGGCGAGGCGGAAGUUGACCAGACAGAACCUCGGUGCGAGUCUUCCAGCAGCGCGGUAAGACUCAAGAAGCUCAGAUGCACCCCCACCACCAUCACCACCUCCACCACCAGCGGCCCCUCACCCACUGGAAAGAUUCUGAAGUGGAUUGUCUAAUUAAGUUUUUUGGAGAUACAUCGUUAUCCCUCUCUUAAAUUAGUGUUCAAGUCUAAGGAGAAUAAAUAAACAUAAGCGUGUGUUCUGAGAAGCCUUGCUCUCCAAUACGGCUGGAAAGCUGUGGAGAGAAUUUUGAAAGUGCAUAGCCUAAUUUAGUUUUUGGGUGCGUCUUGGUAUUCCCCUUUUAAAUUAGUGUUCAAGUUCUAGGAAAGUAGAUAAAUAUAAGCAUGUAGUCUGAAACGGUCUGGAUUUUUUAGUUUUUGGAGGUGCUUUGGUGUUCCUCUCUUAAAAUAGUGUUCAAGUCUCAGGAAGGUAAAUAAAUACAAAAACUAG